rnacentral:rRNA from 1 species
UUUCCCUUCGGGGACAAAGUGACAGGUGGUGCAUGGUUGUCGUCAGCUCGUGUCGUGAGAUGUUGGGUUAAGUCCCGCAACGAGCGCAACCCUUAUUGUUAGUUGCCAUCAUUUAGUUGGGCACUCUAGCGAGACUGCCGGUGACAAACCGGAGGAAGGUGGGGAUGACGUCAAAUCAUCAUGCCCCUUAUGACCUGGGCUACACACGUGCUACAAUGGGAAGUACAACGAGUCGCUAGACCGCGAGGUCAUGCAAAUCUCUUAAAGCUUCUCUCAGUUCGGAUUGCAGGCUGCAACUCGCCUGCAUGAAGCCGGAAUCGCUAGUAAUCGCGGAUCAGCACGCCGCGGUGAAUACGUUCC